rnacentral:rRNA from 1 species
CACCGCCCGUCACACCAUGAGAGCUGACUGUACCAGAAGUCGUUGGGCUAACCCGCAAGGGACGCAGGCGCCUAAGGUAUGGUUGGUGAUUGGGGUG